AUACGGAGGGUGCAAGCGUUAAUCGGAAUUACUGGGCGUAAAGCGCGCGUAGGCGGCUUGAUCAGUCGGAUGUGAAAGCCCUGGGCUCAACCUGGGAACUGCAUUCGAUACUGUCAGACUAGAAUAUGGUAGAGGGUAGUGGAAUUCCUGGUGUAGCGGUGAAAUGCGUAGAUAUCAGGAGGAACAUCAGUGGCGAAGGCGGCUACCUGGACCAAUAUUGACGCUGAGGUGAGAAAGCGUGGGGAGCAAACAGGAUUAGAUACCCUAGUAGUCC
rnacentral:rRNA from 1 species